rnacentral:rRNA from 1 species
AGUGAACGCUGGCGGUAGGCCUAACACAUGCAAGUCGAACGGCAGCACAGUAAGAGCUUGCUCUUACGGGUGGCGAGUGGCGGACGGGUGAGGAAUACAUCGGAAUCUACUUUUUCGUGGGGGAUAACGUAGGGAAACCUACGCUAAUACCGCAUACGACCUACGGGUGAAAGCAGGGGAUCUUCGGACCUUGCGCGAUUGAAUGAGCCGAUGUCGGAUUAGCUAGUUGGCGGGGUAAAGGCCCACCAAGGCGACGAUCCGUAGCUGGUCUGAGAGGAGGAUCGGCCACACUGGAGCUGAGACACGGUCCAGACUCCUACGGGAGGCAGCAGUGGGGAAUAUUGGACAAUGGGCGCAAGCCUGAUCCAGCCAUACCGCGUGGGUGAAGAAGGCCUUCGGGUUGUAAAGCCCUUUUGUUGGGAAAGAAAAGCAGCAGGUUAAUACCCCGCUGUUCUGACGGUACCCAAAGAAUAAGCACCGGCUAACUUCGUG